rnacentral:rRNA from 1 species
UACGUAGGGUGCAAGCGUUGUCCGGAAUUAUUGGGCGUAAAGAGCUCGUAGGCGGUCUGUCACGUCGGCUGUGAAAUCCCGAGGCUCAACCUCGGGUCUGCAGUCGAUACGGGCAAACUAGAGUACUGCAGGGGAGACUGGAAUUCCUGGUGUAGCGGUGAAAUGCGCAGAUAUCAGGAGGAACACCAGUGGCGAAGGCGGGUCUCUGGGCAGGAACUGACGCUGAGGAGCGAAAGCGUGGGGAGCGAACAGG